AGGUCUCAAAUUGAUAUUUACUGGCGUUCAACUUCUUAGCAUCUGAGUUUGGAGCUUCAUACUUCGACGAUGGAUUUCCGACUCAUAUGCUGAGAAGUUGAACG